rnacentral:tRNA from 1 species
GGAGAGGUGCCAGAGUGGUUGAACGGACCGGUCUCGAAAACCGGCAUACGUGCAAGCGUAUCGUGGGUUCGAAUCCCACCCUCUCCGCCA